rnacentral:rRNA from 1 species
GACGAACGCUGGCGGCGUGCUUAACACAUGCAAGUGGAGCGACGAACCGAGGCUUGCCUCGGGGCAAAGCCGCGAACGGGUGAGUAACACGUGGGUAAUCUGCCCUGUUGAUUGGGACAACCCCGGGAAACCGGGGCUAAUACCAAAUGUGCUCUUUCCACAUCAGUGGAUCGAGGAAAGGAGGCUUCGGCUUCCGCAACGGGAUGAGCCCGCGGCCCAUUAGCUUGUUGGUGGGGUAAUGGCCUACCAAGGCUCCGAUGGGUAGCUGGUCUGAGAGGACGAUCAGCCACACUGGGACUGAGACACGGCCCAGACUCCUACGGGAGGCAGCAGUGGGGAAUCUUGCGCAAUGCGCGAAAGCGUGACGCAGCAACGCCGCGUGAGGGAAGACGGCCUUCGGGUUGUAAACCUCUUUCAGUUGGGACGAAGCGCAAGUGACGGUACCUGCAGAAGAAGCACCGGCCAACUACGUGCCAGCAGCCGCAGUAACAC